AUAUAUACAAGUAAAAAUUGUGUUAGCAAAUUACAAAAAAAAUAAAUAAAUAAAAUAUGCAGUGAAUGAAAAAAAAAUAAUAAUAAUAACACGAAGGAAAAUAAAUAUAUAUCAGUAAUAAAAGUGCAGUGAAUACAGUGAAUAAUAGAUAAAACGAAUAUAAAUACGAAAAAAAAAACAUCGAAGAGAAAAAAAAUAAAUGUAUAACAAAUUGAUCCUUUUUAAUCCUUCAAAAAAUUCGAAUAGAUACGAAAAAACAGUGAAAAAAAUUAGUUACAUACUCACAACACUUACUUAAAUUCCACUACAAAACCCCGUAAGUCACUACAACAAAUUACUUAACGAGUCGAGUGAAGGUAGCGAGCAGUCUUACUUAGUUACUUAACACUUCAACACGGUCAGUCUCUGGAUGAGUCACUUCGCUGAGUUGUUGGUGAGUCGCCUUACUCCUCUCACUCCCACACCCACAGACUGACUCACUCUCACUCCUGAAGGCUGGGAGAGGAGGGGGAGGAGGGAGAGAGGGAGCGGUGAGUGAAGCAUGAGUCAUCAACAGGUCUAGUACAAGGUGAACUGGCAGAGGCGAGCAGCGGGAGUCCUCAGGUGAUGGAGAGAGAGAGAGAGAGAGAGAGAGAGAGAGAGAGAGAGAGAGAGAGAGAGAGAGAGAGAGAGAGAGAGAGAGAGACGUGUACGUGUAUAUUAAAAAAAAAAUAAUAAUAAUAAUACGCAUUAAUAAUAAUAAUGUAUGUGAUCUGUAUGAAUGUACGAGUAUGUGCUAAUCUCUGUAUAAUAUGUAAUAAAGUAUAAACUCCCAUACUCUGUGUAUAUUUCACUAUCAUACAGCAAUUAUGUACAAAAAAUACAGGAAAAUACGGUAAACAUAAGAGCCUGAAAGAACAGAGAGAGAGAGAGAGAGAGAGAGAGAGAGAGAGAGAGAGUAUGUGUGUGUGUGUGUGUGUGUGUGUGUGUGUGUGUGUGUGUGUGUUUUGUCAGGCUUUUAAGAUAAUGACAGGAGACAGAUUGAAGGUUUAAGCCCUCAUCUUUGAAUACAUAUAAGAGUAGAAUACAACAUUACAUACUUUAUACAUACAGCUUAAAAUGAAGAGUUAUACACCACGCACCUAUGUACCUUGCAGAGAGAGAGAGAGAGAGAGAGAGAGAGAGAGAGAGUAAGAAGAGACCCACGGGAAACGAGGGAGACGGAAAAAGAGGCAGAGAGAGAGAGGAGGCAAGAGGUGAGAGGAGACGCAGGAGGAAGGUAAGGUGGAGAGAGACAGGGAGAGGUGAGGGAGAGAGGGAGAGGUGAGGGAGAGGGGUCAAGCAGGUCACAGUGGCGAGUCCCGGACGCUGACCUCAACGCCCCCGCUUCUCCGCCCCCCACUUCCCCCCUCCACUCUCCCCACAUCUGCCCCCCCUUAUCUUACUUCUUCCUUCCAGCCUCCACCUCCGCCUCUCCUAUUCUCCCACUAGACACCAGUACUCCUCCUCCUCCUCCUCCUCCUCUUCUUCUUCUUCCACUACGAUCCAGACUUCCUUCUCUGCCUUUACUGUCUUCCCUUCACCUCCUCCUCCUCCUCCUCCUCCUCCUCCCCUUCCUCCUCCAGUAUGCAGCCUCCUCCCUUUCUCUUUCCUUCUUUUUUCCACGCAUACCUUCUUCCUCCUCCUCUUUUUCCUUCUUUCCCAGUCUUCUCCCCUUCUCUUUUCCACACACACACACACACACACACACACACACACACACAUCCUCAUCUAUUCAAUUUCCUUCCCCUUUUUCUCCCUCUUCCACUAGCACUCCUCCUCCUCCUCCUCCUCUUCCUCCUCCUCCUUCUCCUCCUCCUCCUCGUCAUCUCCCUCCACUGUCUCGUCUCCUUUCCCCAAGAAACACUACUUUUCUGGGUGUUUCCUCUCCCUCCAUCACCUCCCCGAACUCCCCAGCUUCCCCAGCACAGUGUAACAGGUAAAAGGUUGCAUCAGGUGUCAGGUACAGAUGUUCUCUUGCUCAUUAAUUUACCUCACAACAUAUAUGGAUACAGAAAAAUGCCUAUUGUGGAUGGGAAAAGAAAAUCGUGAUGCGAGGGAAGAGUUAGGCGUUUGUUAUAUGAAUACUGCUGCUACUAAUGCUGUGUGGAACUGAAAUAAAGUGAGACUAUGUAUGUGUGUAUGUGUGUGGUAUAAUUGCCUCAGGUGGGUAUGAUAAAAGUUAGUGAUAGGUUCUUGUAGUAGUGUUGUUCUCCUUUGUAUUAAAUCCCUCCUGACAAAAUACUGAGCAGAUUACUCUCACAAUUUCGAUCGCUACACCUCAAUAACAGGUAUCAAUAGGUACACGAGUAAGAACAUAACAGUGCCUAUCAAAAUGUGCAAUUACUAAAACGGAAUAUCCUCAGGUUUAGGUUUCCCUCUUCAUGUCAGUGUUCUUUCCAUCAGAUGAAAUGAAAGGUUGUACUUGGAAUGAAAUAAAAAAAAAAAAGAAAACGGGUAAUUACAGGUAAGAGAUGAUAAGAGAAUUCAAGUGUUUUUUUUUUUUUUUUUUUU